rnacentral:rRNA from 1 species
AUUUUUAGUUUCAACAAAAUAAUACUAAAAAAUUAAAAGCUAUAUUCUCCAAAUUUAAAGGAUUUGGCGGUAAUUUAGUCCAGUUAGAGGAACCUGUUAAAUAAACGAUAUACCACGAAAAAUCUUACCUACUUUUAAAGUUUGUAUACCGUCAUUAUUAGAUGACUCUCAUAGGAACAGUCAUUUCAAUAAAUUAAAAUUUAAUAUAUUAGAUCAAGGUGCAGCCUAUAAGUAGGUUUUUAAAUGGGUUACAAUAAAACUUAUUUAUACGAAUAUAAAAUUUAAACAUUUUAUUAAAGGAGGAUUUAAUAGUAAAACCAUUUUAAUAAGUUAGUUUGAUAAUGGAUCUAAAUUAAGUACAUAUCGCCCGUCGCUUUCAUCUCCAAAUGAAAUAAGUCGUAACAUAG